CUCUCUGCCUUUUUCCUAAAACCAUGUGUGUGUAUAUCAUAUAUCUUGAACUACUUCAUCCAUAUGCAAGUUCUGUCUCUAGAAAAAUCUUCUUAGUCUAUCUAGUUUUUACAAUUUCUCUGUUUUGAAGCUAUGAAUGAGAUCAAAUAUGGCUACCCUUACCCUGCUCAAGGUACAUGUUUACAUACAAUUCCAACAUCCUCAAAUUUUAGAUAAAUCCUUCUUUAUCAUAGAUGCUUCAAGAAGAUGCUUUAAUUUGAAUUUCCUUGUUUUUUUCACACAUGGGCAAUAAAUGAUUCAAUGUAGUUAGUUGAAGCAACUAAUCAAUUUCCCCCAUUUUUGCAUGCAAUAAAUAUCAUUGCUUUACUUUGAACAUUCUUAAUUUAUGUUUCUUAAUUACUAUGCAGUACUAAACAAUUGUUAUAACCUUAGUUAUGACUUAUGAUUUUGUCCUACAGGUCCUUAUCAAGGACCGCCUCCGGUGGCGGCACCUCCACAUUACUACCCUGCACCACCACCCAAAAGAGAACCAGGUUUCCUUGAAGGAUGGUAAGCAUAAGCAGUUAUAUACAAGAGUAUAUCUUUUAUCUCAAAAUUUGUACUACUCCAUGUAUCAUGCAUUUCUCAUUGGUCAGAAAAUAUAAUGUUCACAUAUAUUUAAUUUAUAUUUCACUUUUCUAACUAAUGGGAAACAGAUAGUACAUGAAGUGGUAUAAACUUUGGGACAGAAGAUGUGGUCCAGUUAUAUAUAUAUAUAUAUAGAUGUAUAUGGAAAGUAGAAAGUGAUGUUGCUCCUACCACUAACCCAAAAUAUCAUUUAUUUAAUUAUUUAUAUUUUAAUCCAUGCAGAUAUUAUGUAACCAGAUUCCUUAGUUGUUAAAAGCUUUUGCUUAAUUUUGUUUUGAUUGCUUGUUUUGUGCAUAUUUGCAGCCUAGCAGCUUUGUGUUGCUGUUGCUUACUUGAUGAAUGCUGCUGUUGUGACCCAACCAUUAUUGUGGCUAGUUAAUUAAUACUUUGGCCUUUCCAUAUUUAGAAUCACUCUAUUAUUGUGAUGAUGUAUUUAAUUAAAACUUGUCAUUUUUAUAUGCAUGAGUACUAGUCAAUCUUUUAUUAAUAAAAUGCUUGUGACAAAGACUUGGAGGUAUUGGUAUACUUGAUAAUAGAACUAACUUCUGG
rnacentral:lncRNA from 1 species